GACGAACGCUGGCGGCGUGCUUAACACAUGCAAGUCGAACGAAGUGGCGAACGGGUGAGUAACGCGUAAUCAACCUGCCCUUCAGAGGGGGACAACAGUUGGAAACGACUGCUAAUACCGCAUACUGGAGGAGGGGAUUGAGUGUGAUUAGCUAGGUGGAGGGGUAACGGCCCACCAAGGCGAUGAUCAGUAGCCGGUCUGAGAGGAUGAGCGGCCCAAUUGGGAACGGGAAAAGGCCCAAACUCCUCCGGGAGGGAGCAGGGGGGAAACUUCCGCAAUGGAGGAAAGGCUGACUGAGCAAAUGCGCUGGAGGGAGUACGGCCUUCGGGUUGUGAAGGUCUGUUAAUCGGGACGCGGUACCGGAAUAGAAAGCCACGGCUAACUACGUGCCAGCCGCCGCGGUAAUUC
rnacentral:rRNA from 1 species